AAUAUCUUGACUUUAAUAUUCCAAAAGCACUAUGUAAAAAUUUGACUAAGUUAAGAAUUAGUGCACAUUCUCUUUUAAUAGAAAAAGGUCGUUAUCAUAGACCAAAAAUUCCGCAUAACUCAAGACUUUGUCAGACUUGUGAUUUAUUAGAUGAUGAAAAACACUUCAUUUUAUACUGUAAAAAGUUUUCAAUUUUAAGACAAGAUCUCUUCAAAAAAUUAAAUAUCGACCCCUCGGAUUUAAAUAAAAGGGAAA
rnacentral:lncRNA from 1 species